GAGGCUUUAGCUUAAUUAAAGUGUCUGCGUUGCAUGCAGAAGAUGUGGG
rnacentral:tRNA from 1 species